rnacentral:lncRNA from 1 species
UUGACCUGCGGUGCUUCGGCUACUCACAGUGAGGUUAUUGUAGUUUGACUGCACACAUACUUGGUCUCUAGCCAUAUGGGUCCAUGCAGUGUAGAUUGGCUGCAGUAAGUUCACUGUAGGAGUAGGGUAUGCACCUAUAAGGAAUCUAUCGACCUUGAUAGAAGAGGAGUGAUCCUAUGUGAUUUGUUAGACUGAGUUCUAAGACCUUGGCCAGGGCAGUAAUAUAAAGUAGAAAAAGAGUUUUCCACUAUCGAACUCAAGUCAAAUAAAUCUUGACAUAUGACAGACGAUGGGGUUUGACGAGUUGUCCAUGACCUCCGUCCUGUAGGGAUCCACGAUAGUAGGACUGUAUCACACGUUAACUGCACCUAGAGAUUCAUCUUUCUAUUCUACUGGGUAGCCACUACAUGCUGCUAGGUGUCACUGGUGGAUGGUGGGACUCAUAGGGAUUAUCUUGAUGAUCGAUAAACCCUAA